GCGUAAAGCGCGCGUAGGUGGUUCGUUAAGUUGGAUGUGAAAUCCCCGGGCUCAACCUGGGAACUGCAUUUGUGACUGCAAGGCUAGAGUACGGCAGAGGGGGAUGGAAUUCCGCGUGUAGCAGUGAAAUGCGUAGAUAUGCGGAGGAACACCGAUGGCGAAGGCAAUCCCCUGGGCCUGUACUGACGCUCAUGCACGAAAGCGUGGGGAGCAAACAGGAUUAGAUACCCUGGUAGUCC
rnacentral:rRNA from 1 species